GCGAACGGACGAGAAGCUUGCUUCUCUGAUGUUAGCGGCGGACGGGUGAGUAACACGUGGAUAACCUACCUAUAAGACUGGGAUAACUUCGGGAAACCGGAGCUAAUACCGGAUAAUAUUUUGAACCGCAUGGUUCAAAAGUGAAAGACGGUCUUGCUGUCACUUAUAGAUGGAUCCGCGCUGCAUUAGCUAGUUGGUAAGGUAACGGCUUACCAAGGCAACGAUGCAUAGCCGACCUGAGAGGGUGAUCGGCCACACUGGAACUGAGACACGGUCCAGACUCCUACGGGAGGCAGCAGUAGGGGAUCUUCCGCAAUGGGCGAAAGCCUGACGGAGCAACGCCGCGUGAGUGAUGAAGGUCUUCGGAUCGUAAAACUCUGUUAUUAGGGAAGAACAUAUGUGUAAGUAACUGUGCACAUCUUGACGGUACCUAAUCAGAAAGCCACGGCUAACUACGUGCCAGCAGCCGCGGUAAUACGUAGGUGGCAAGCGUUAUCCGGAAUUAUUGGGCGUAAAGCGCGCGUAGGCGGUUUUUUAAGUCUGAUGUGAAAGCCCACGGCUCAACCGUGGAGGGUCAUUGGAAACUGGAAAACUUGAGUGCAGAAGGGGAAAGUGGAAUUCCAUGUGUAGCGGUGAAAUGCGCAGAGAUAUGGAGGAACACCAGUGGCGGAGGCGACUUUCUGGUCUGUAACUGACGCUGAUGUGCGAAAGCGUGGGGAUCAA
rnacentral:rRNA from 1 species